rnacentral:rRNA from 1 species
AUUGAACGCUGGCGGCAGGCCUAACACAUGCAAGUCGAACGAGAGGCGGACGGGUGAGUAAUGUCUGGGCAACUGCCCGAUGGAGGGGGAUAACUACUGGAAACGGUAGCUAAUACCGCAUACCAUCGGAUGUGCCCAGAUGGGAUUAGCUUGUAGGUGAGGUAACUGCUCACCUAGUCGACGAUCCCUCGCUGGUCUGAGAGGAUGACCAGCCACACUGUAACUGCUACACGGUCCAGACUCCUACGGGAGGCAGCAGUGGGGAAUAUUGCACAAUGGGCGCAAGCCUGAUGCAGCCAUGCCGCGUGUAUGAAGAAGGCCUUCGGGUUGUAAAGUACUUUCAGCGGUGAGGCGUUACCCGCAGAAGAAGCACCGGCUAACUCCGUGCCAGCAGCCGCGGUAAUAC